GUGGACCUUCCCUACAUAGCAAGGCUUUGCCAUGCUGCCAGGGAGCCCCAAAUCCGCCGCCCCCAGGGUCCCACUGCUGUCACCUGGGGUGGACGUGGAGGAUCCUGAGGUGGAAGUGCCUCAAUCUGGGGCUCCAAGCGGUCGUUGUUAUCACAACCUCACAGCACUGCUACAGAAAAGCCACCGUGCUUAAAGAGGCCUUUGGAAAAAUCUGGCUCCUUCCACGGUGACUCAGAGAGGAGGAAAUGCGAUCCCUGCUCCGUGUGCCACCCCCAGGACAGAGCAGUGCUGACACCAUCGCAGCCUUCACCCAGAGAAGCUCUGGGAGGGCUGGGGCUGUUCCUUCCAGGUAUGCAGGUGGAGGAGAUCUGGAGCUCUCAGUGCCCCUCAUCUCGGCCCCAUCCUCCCAAGCCCUGCCUGAUCAGAUCCCCUCUCAGCCUUCUCUUCUCCGUUGUGAGGAUGGAUUAUCCCCUGUCUGCAAAGAGUAAAUGACUUUGUGGGCACGGGGAUAAGGAAGGUUUGGUGCUGGCUUUGCUCUGAUGUUUACCUACAGAGUGCCUGGUGUCAGUGCUGUCAUUGGAUGGGUGCCUUGUGGUGGAUGGAGGGCUGCCCCCUCUGCACACCAGAGCCAUCAGAGCGCCCAUCUGCAGGCAGCCCCAGAACAGAGAUCCAGGAGGAAGCACGGAUGGAUCACAGCAUUGCAGCUCAGCUGGGUUGGAAGGGACCUCAAGGUCUCUCAGCUCCCUUUGUCCCUCCUAUCCCCAGUCUGCAGGGGAGGCUCAGAGCCAUUCCCCUUCCCCAGUGUUUCAAUGGCGCCGAAGGGAGCGAGGUGGGAGCUGUGCACAGAGCAGCGUUCCUGUAACCCCGUGCAGGGACCCGACGCAGUGCAGACAAUGCGUGCUUUGUCCACGUCUGUUCUCCCAGUGCUGUGAGUGCAAACACUGAACGCAGAACGCGUUAAUUACCGUCCAGCUCCCUGGGGAAAGGCCCAUAUGCCAACAACCAGAGCAAAGCAUGGGAAGCUCUGCGAUCAUUAAGUGACGCCGAGCUGCAAUUACUUCUUGAUGAACGCUUCCUAGAAACACACAGUGGAGCAGCACCAAAUGUGAGGCUGUGCAGAAGAGGAGAGAGCAAGAAA